rnacentral:rRNA from 1 species
AAAAGAGGAGUGGCGAACGGGUGAGUAACACGUGGGUAACCUGCCCAUCAGAAGGGGAUAACACUUGGAAACAGGUGCUAAUACCGUAUAACAAUCGAAACCGCAUGGUUUUGAUUUGAAAGGCGCUUUCGGGUGUCGCUGAUGGAUGGACCCGCGGUGCAUUAGCUAGUUGGUGAGGUAACGGCUCACCAAGGCGACGAUGCAUAGCCGACCUGAGAGGGUGAUCGGCCACAUUGGGACUGAGACACGGCCCAAACUCCUACGGGAGGCAGCAGUAGGGAAUCUUCGGCAAUGGACGAAAGUCUGACCGAGCAACGCCGCGUGAGUGAAGAAGGUUUUCGGAUCGUAAAACUCUGUUGUUAGAGAAGAACAAGGAUGAGAGUAACUGUUCAUCCCUUGACGGUAUCUAACCAGAAAGCCACGGCUAACUACGUGCCAGCAGCCGCGGUAAUACGUAGGUGGCAAGCGUUGUCCGGAUUUAUUGGGCGUAAAGCGAGCGCAGGCGGUUUCUUAAGUCUGAUGUGAAAGCCCCCGGCUCAACCGGGGAGGGUCAUUGGAAACUGGGAGACUUGAGUGCAGAAGAGGAGAGUGGAAUUCCAUGUGUAGCGGUGAAAUGCGUAGAUAUAUGGAGGAACACCAGUGGCGAAGGCGGCUCUCUGGUCUGUAACUGACGCUGAGGCUCGAAAGCGUGGGGAGCAAACAGGAUUAGAUACCCUGGUAGUCCACGCCGUAAACGAUGAGUGCUAAGUGUUGGAGGGUUUCCGCCCUUCAGUGCUGCAGCUAACGCAUUAAGCACUCCG